UAUUUAAUUGACCUAGAAUCAGUUAACGAGGCAACCAACUGGGACGUUCCACUGAAUGAGAAAUGCUCCUCGCUCUCCCUCCUCAAGAACGACAACCUCAUGUUGUCUGACAUCGGACGACGUUUGAGACACAAAGACUUUGUUGGAGAAGCCGUUGGAGUUGCAUUUGCACACCAAUGAAAGCUCUGUUUUGUGGAAAAGCUUUAAUUUUUCAACUGAUACACUCUUCACUUUUCAUCACCCAAGGACAUCACCCAACUUCUUCCAUGUUUUUUUGUUUGUCUUUUCCAAUUUUUUUUUAAUACAGUGAUUUCUGCGGGACUCAAAGUUCGUGCAGUGUUGGGAAUUUCGGGAAGCAAUGAGGGUUUUUUAGAUUGGUGCAAGUGGUGUGGUAAGGUUCUCUUUGUGGUGGUUCAAACGUAGGGUUUUGAUUUGUUUUGUUGAAUUGAAUUUGGUUUUGGAGUGUUUUGUCCCAGUUUGAUCUCUAGGGUUCUUGGUGAUGGGGGCAGUUGAGAUUUGAGUGUGCAUGUAUUGUGUGAAUUUUGUGGUGAGUGAAAUUUGGGCUUAAGGUAACUGUGCUUGGGUUGAAAGUUGCUUCUUUCUUUGGGGGCUUAAUGUUGUCGGGUGGUGAGUCUGGUUGAUGUGAUUGACAGAGGUUGAGAUUGUUGAUUUGGGGUUGAAUGAUAUGAGGAAGGGGAGGGGGAGCGGUAGUGCUGUGGCGAUUUCGGUUGCGAGCAGCGGCGACGAG
rnacentral:lncRNA from 1 species